rnacentral:lncRNA from 1 species
CUCUCCUUAGCCGCUUGUGCCGCCAUCAGAGGGGCCUGUCUCGCUCCCCCAGACACAGAGCCUCUGUUUUCCUCACUCCGGGUCUGGAGUCCCCUGCUUAACAGCUUGGAUUGAAGAGGCUUGUCUGGGGGGACUGAGACCUUGCAGAUCAUUCCAGGAGCCGCCUCCAUCCAAGGCCAACAGCUUCAUCAGGCCGCAGGCCUGGGAGAAGGUGGGACUGCAGUUGCCCAACAUCCUGUGGCUGCCCACACGGACACCCCAUGUGCACCCCAGGGCUGAGAGCAGGGGGAGCCAUCUCCCUGUGUGUGGGACACUGCCUGCUGGGUGUUCCGUUCCAGCCCCUCUAGAAUGCAUGCUUGAAUGGCCAGUGAGGCUGGGGGAGGGACCGAGAGGGAGCCCUCACCCCCAGCAGCACAGAGCAGGAGCUGGACGGUGGGGCUGGGGGUGAGGCCAGCUGAGAGGGGUCAGGUCCUGCCACGGGAGGGGGACUUUUAAAGUUCCUCCAUGGCCCUGGAACCCUGGAGCCUCAGGAGUGGCAGGGGAGCUUCUCCGGACCUGCCUCUUCUGGACAUUUCGUAUAAAUGGAAUCGUGUAAUAUGUGGCCUUUCGAGCUGGGCUUCCUUCACUCAACGUCAUGUUUCCAAGAUCCAUCCCCAUUGAAGCUGGUGUCGGAGCCUCACUGCUUUCUGCG